AUGCGUCAGGAUGAUGCAGGCUUCAGGAUGAAGAAGUGGAUGCACUCAGUGAAGAGUGACAGGGAUGGCGUCAGGAUGAUGCUCAGGAUGUUUCAGGCAUGAAACCAGGGACACCUCCAGGAUGGAGAUUGAGAACCGGCACAGGAUGGUCGGCGGGUCAGGAAGACCACGGAACCUCGUCAGGCUGACGUUUAAAGGAAUACGGCAAGGAUUGUCUGGUCAGGAUGGCCGAAGGAAAAGUUUUCAAGGAUUGAGCAGGGAGCACACUGCGUAGCGGGAUAGCUAUAAAACGAACCGGGGGCACUGUUAACGCAGUGCCCCCAAUUUUUUGC
rnacentral:other from 1 species